rnacentral:lncRNA from 1 species
CACACAAACACACACUCUUACACCUCUAAAAACUUCACAUUUGUUUUCUUUUUCUUUAGAUAAUAAACAGAACUGCUUCUUCGAGAUGAUACUGAAUGGCCCAUGUACCUCCCUUCACGCCAGCAUAGGCAUAACCAUUUCAAAAAGAUUUUCACUUGAUCUGCAGCUACUGAUGCCCUACCAGCUUGGAAAAUGUUUUAUUUCCUUGCUUUGGAGUGAAUUCUCAGGCAAUCAUUUGCUUUAUUGAUUCUGCUCAUUAUUGCAGUGGUUGCUUGCCUUAGGUCCCUGGAGGUCAAGGCAAGAAACCAAAUAUGUAUGUGGAUCUCUUUUCUACUGCUUCUGCUUGCUCUAAUUUGACCCUCAACCACCAGAAAGCUACAUAAGAACCAUAUUUAGGAUUUGUAAGGUACUGUCUACUUAGAAGGUGCCAGUUGACAUAUGUAUGUUAACCAACUGCCGGUUAUUCCACAUCACUUUAGAGUUCUUUGAUUGCAAGCAACAGAAAAUAUCCCUGGAUAAUCAAAGGGAAAAAAGACGGUAUCAAAAGCGAGUAAAGUGGAGAAUAGAUUGAAAGGCUGAAGACCGCAGCACACACAAAAGUAGGAAUGAAGAAAGGUCUGAGGAGGUCUAGCUAUCAGGCACAACUUGACAGUCUUAACUAGGCAUAGCUACUCAAAUAAAUAAGUCAAGUCAUUUUUUGAGUUUGUCACUAAUAUCAUAUCACUGAAGUUUCUGAAUUCCAGAGGAGAAGGUCCUGUUGGCACUACUGACAUUUUGGACUAGAAAAUUCCUUGUGGUGGGUGGCGGGGGGUGGGGGCGGCUGUCCUGUGCAUUGUAGGGUAUUGAGUGGCACCCCUGGCCUCUACACACUAGAUUGCAAUAGCACCCCCACUAGCUGAGACAGAAUGUCUCUAGACUUUGCCCAGUGUCCACUAGUAGGCAAAAUUACCCCCAGGUGAGAACCACUGGCUUAGAU